ensembl:lncRNA
UCCCUAGAUCGGGAAGAUCCCCUGGAGGAGGGCAUGGCAACCCACUCCAAUAUUCUUACCUGGAGAAUCCAACGGAUAGAGGAGCCUAGUGGGCUACAGACCGUGGGGUCACAAAGUGUCGGAUAUGAAUUAUCGACUGAGCCUGCACGCAGUAACCAUGUUUCCUCACUAACUGUUGAUGCCAGCUUCCUGGAGGUUCUGAAGCACACUCUCUUGCUCAAGCUGCUGUGUCAGAGUUUGAGGCAUCACCAGGAGACUUCUGAACCAGGCGCUGACGUGACUUCAUCAAAAUGGCCCAGGUGGAACACAGUACCACUGCAGGUCCCGCCCAUGUCCCCACUGGGGAUGAAUCCAUCAGGGCACUUGGGUUCACAGACUUCGCGGAAAACCUGUCUUCAGGACUGGUCUCCUUUCUUCCAACCAGCUGUUGGUCAGAGGCCCAGGCACCUCCAUCCAGGCUCCACUCCCCAGGGCCUGGAUUCUGGGACACCUUAGGGGUAAUUCAAGGCUGUCAUGCUCCUUUAUUUGGGGACAAGAAGGUCCUAAAAGCUGCCUUUGUUUGAUUUUGGAGGUCUGAUUGUUUUUUGUCCAGAUAGGUGGAAACAUGGGGUGUGAUGUUCCUACACCUGCAGGGCCUUCCCAGGGUAAAGAUCUGUGUGUUUUCCCAGCCAGUCCGUCCCCUACACCACCCUCCCAGGAAACACAGAUCCAGGAUUACGAGAGUAGAAGCUCUCCUAUUGUUUAUUGUAACUUGGACUCCCACACUGAGGAGCCUGGCUCCCACCAUCUGCCCUUUAUCUGUGUAUUGCUCCUUUCCAGAUUACACGUGCAGAAGUUUCAGCAUUGUUAGCUACUAUACCCUGGAAA